rnacentral:lncRNA from 1 species
CGUUUAAGGGCAAGGCAACGAAAUAAUCUGAUUGGUCCAUGCUAAUGCAACAGUAACGAAUUCAUGCAAAAACCCUAGUCCAGAAAUCCGCAGGAAAAGUCGUAGCCAGCCUCAUGAAGGCUGCAAGAGAAUCCGCAGGAAAAGUGCAGUCCCAUGAACAGCAUGAAGAUCUUCAUGAUCUUCAUGCGCGAAAUUUCCAGAAAAAUCCAACAGUCCCAGAAACACCAUUUAAGCACAUGUUUAUGAAGAUCUAACAACCC